rnacentral:rRNA from 1 species
GAUGAACGCUGGCGGCGUGCCUAAUACAUGCAAGUCGAGCGAACAGACGAGGCGCUUGCUCCUCUGACGUUAGCGGCGGACGUGUGAGUAACACGUGGAUCACCUCCCUAUAAGACUGGGAUAACUUCGGGAAACCGGCGCUAAUACCGUAUAAUAUAUUGAACCGCAUGGUUCAAUAGUGAAAGUCGGUUUUGCUGUCACUUAUCGAUGGUUCCGCGCCGCAUUAGCUAGUUGGUAAGGUAACGGCUUACCAAGGCAACGAUGCGUAGCCGACCUGAGAGGGUGAUCGGCCACACUGGAACUGAGACACGGUCCAGACUCCUACGGGAGGCAGCAGUAGGGAAUCUUCCGCAAUGGGCGAAAGCUUGACGGAGCAACGCCGCGUGAGUGAUGAAGGUCUUCGGAUCGUAAAACUCUGUUAUUAGGGAAGAACAAAUGUGGAAGUAACUAUGCAGGUCGUGACGGUACCUAAUCAGAAAGCCACGGCUAACUACGUG